GUAACAUGAUCGCAGUGACAGGCUGUCACUGCGAUCAGAGUGAUCGCAGUGACAGCCUGUCACUGCGAUCUCAG